AGGAUAAACGCUGGCGGCGUGCAUGAGACAUGCAAGUCGAACGGACGAUCGAGGCUUGCCUUGAUCGUUAGUGGCGGACGGCUGAGUAACGCGUGGGUGACCUGCCCCGAAGUGGGGAAUAACUGCCCGAAAGGGUGGCUAAUACCGCAUGUGGUGGUGUGUUCAUUCACACCAGUAAAGCCGCAAGGCGCUUCGGGAGGGGCCUGCGUCCGAUUAGCUCGUUGGUGGGGUAACGGCUCACCAAGGCGACGAUCGGUAGGUGGUCUGAGAGGACGAUCACCCAGACUGGGACUGAGACACGGCCCAGACUCCUACGGGAGGCAGCAGUCGGGAAUUUUGCGCAAUGGACGAAAGUCUGACGCAGCAACGCCGCGUGAGGGAUGAAGGCCUUCGGGUUGUAAACCUCUUUUAUCAGGGAAGAUAAUGACGGUACCUGAUGAAUAAGUCACGGCUAACUACGCGCCAGCAGCCGCGGU
rnacentral:rRNA from 1 species